rnacentral:rRNA from 1 species
UACGUAGGGGCCUAGCGUUGUCCGGAUUUAUUGGGCGUAAAGAGCUCGUAGGCGGUUCGGCAAGUCGGAUGUGAAAUCUCCACGCUUAACGUGGAGGGGCCAUUCGAAACUGCCGUGACUCGAGUCCGGUAGGGGAGUGUGGAAUUCCCGGUGUAGCGGUGAAAUGCGCAGAUAUCGGGAGGAACACCAGUAGCGAAGGCGACUUCCUGGCCUGUUCUUGACGCUGAGGCGCGGAAGCUAGGGGAGCAAACGGG